rnacentral:rRNA from 1 species
UACGAAGGGUGCAAACGUUGCUCGGAAUUAUUGGGCGUAAAGCGCACGUAGGCGGCAUUGCAAGUCGGAUGUGAAAUCCCUCGGCUUAACCAAGGAAGUGCAUCCGAAACUGCAGUGCUUGAGUACUUAAGAGGAUCGCGGAAUUCCUGGUGUAGCGGUGAAAUGCGCAGAUAUCAGGAGGAACACCGGUGGCGAAGGCGGAUCUCUGGGCCUGUCCUGACGCUCAGGCGCGAAAGCUAGGGGAGCAAACAGG